GGGGCAGGGGACGGGGUCCCGGGAGCGGGACCCGGGACGGCCACGGCCCCGCGGGAAGGGCCCCUCCGACACGGCCUUCGUCCCUCCGCCCGACCACCCGAGCACCUCCCGCCACCCGCGGCCGCGGCCCCGCGGGCUCCAAGCCCCGCCAAUCCGGGCCCGCCUUUCUCCGAGCCGUCCAAUCACAGCCCGCCUUUUCAAUCCGGCAGCGGUCCCGCAAGCUCUGCCCGCUCAGCCGCGGCGCGGCCCCUCCGAGCGGCACCGUCCCCCCGUUCCCCUCAGGCGCUGCUGGGACCACGGAAGGGCGGUGGGAGCUCCGCGGUCACGUCUCGUCCGGGAGGACGGGGAAAAUCAUUGACUUGGGUCCAGCAAUGCCCUUAUGUGUUGGAGUGUGAGCAGCCAAAGGCAACAAGCUCCAGCCCCACUGACCGGUGCUGGGGGCACCUGGUGCUGCCCGUGGGGUGGGUUUGGCAGAGCUGGGACAAGGAGAACUCGUGCAGGCACCU